rnacentral:lncRNA from 1 species
GUGACUACAAGGUUAUUUAGGGAGAAGGGUUGAGUAUAAUGCCCUGGACUGCCCCCAGGACCACAGAAGAAAAAGUAGCUGAGCUGUCUGAGCUGAGAGCCAACAGGCCUCCGUGUGCCAAGCAUCACGAGAGAAAGGGUAGCCUUGUCUGGACUGGAACUUGACAUAUAGACCAAGCUCGAAGAAACUGGCCUGUAGCUGCCUCCUAAGUCCUGGGAUUAAAGGGCAGUGCUGCUCUCGGCCUCCGUCAGAAGCUCCAUUUUCAGUGGGCAGAGGUUAAUGUAGAGAUCCACAACUGGCCAAAGAGCGAUCUGGGCCUGAGAUGUGAUCAGCCCUGAAUGAGACAAGCACACCAACUACCUCUGAGGUCCAGAGAACUUCAAGGAGGAUGGGGCAGGAAGAAUGCAAGAGCCCAAGGAUGGGGAGGGUGCUGGGAAAGGCUGUCCGCUGGACUUGACACGGCCUUUGUGCUCAUGAACUCACAGCAGCUGUGGUUACUGACACACAAUUGAAGGGGGUCAACAUUCCAGCAUGGACCAGGAGGGGCUCACAAGAACCCUCCCCUCUCUGAGGAGCUAUAGGCAGUUAAGGAAUGGCUGCUGGGGGAGGGGAAUCAUUUUCUUCAGUGGUGCAGCCACCGUUAAGUUGCUCCAGUAAAUAAAUCCCAGCCCACAAUCCUAACUAAACUCUAUGGCACACAGACACACAGAUGGGGACUUUGGGG